GAUGAAGAACGUAGCAAAAUGCGAUACGUAAUGUGAAUUGCAGAAUUCAGUGAAUCAUCGAGUCUUUGAACGCACAUUGCGCCCCCUGGUAUUCCGGGGGGCAUGCCUGUCCGAGCGUCAUUGCUGCCCUCAAGCACGGCUUGUGUGUUGGGCCUCCGUCCUCCUCCCGGGGGACGGGCCCGAAAGGCAGCGGCGGCACCGCGUCCGGUCCUCGAGCGUAUGGGGCUUCGUCACCCGCUCUUGUAGGCCCGGCCGGCGCUUGCCGACACAUCAAUCUUUUUUCCAGGUUGACCUCGGAUCAGGUAGGGAUACCCGCUGAACUUAAGCAUAUCAAUAAGCGGGGA
rnacentral:misc_RNA from 1 species